UCGAGAAUUUUUCACAAUGGGCGCAAGCCUGAUGGAGCGACGCCGCGUGGGGGAUGAAUGGCUUCGGCCCGUAAACCCCUGUCAUUCGGGAUCAAAACCGAUCAACCAAUACGUGAUCGGCUGAUAGUACCGAAAGAGGAAGGGACGGCUAACUCUGUGCAAGCAGCCGCGGUAAUACAGAGGUCCCAAGCGUUGUUCGGAUUUACUGGGCGUAAAGGGAGCGUAGGUGGCAGGCUAAGUAUGAUGUGAAAGCUCUGAGCUCAACUCAGAAAUGGCAUUAGAUACUAGUUGGCUGGAGGAUUGGAGGGGAGAGUGGAAUUCUCGGUGUAGCAGUGAAAUGCGUAGAUAUCGAGAGGAACACCAGUGGCGAAGGCGAAUCUCUGGACAAUUCCUGACACUGAGGCUCGAAAGCUAGGGGAGCAAACG
rnacentral:rRNA from 1 species